rnacentral:rRNA from 1 species
AGAGUUUGAUCCUGCUUCAGGAUAAACGCUGGCGGCGUGCUUAACACAUGCAAGUCGAGCGAAGCACUUAAGAAAGAUUCUUCGGAUGAAAUCUUAAGCGACUGAGCGGCGGACGGGUGAGUAACGCGUAGGUAACCUGCCUCAUACAGGGGGAUAACAGUUAGAAAUGACUGCUAAUACCGCAUAAGCGCACAGUGCUGCAUGGCACAGUGUGAAAAACUCCGGUGGUAUGAGAUGGACCCGCGUUGGAUUAGGCAGUUGGCGGGGUAACGGCCCACCAAACCGACGAUCCAUAGCCGGCCUGAGAGGGUGAACGGCCACAUUGGGACUGAGACACGGUCCAAACUCCUACGGGAGGCAGCAGUGAGGAAUAUUAGUCAAUGGGCGAGAGCCUGAACCAGCCAAGUAGCGUGCAGGAUGACGGCCCUAUGGGUUGUAAACUGCUUUUAUACGGGGAUAAAGUGAGCCACGUGUGGCUUAUUGCAGGUACCGUAUGAAUAAGGACCGGCUAAUUCCGUGCCAGCAGCCGCGGUAAUACGGAAGGUCCGGGCGUUAUCCGGAUUUAUUGGGUUUAAAGGGAGCGUAGGCCGUCUGUUAAGCGUGUUGUGAAAUGUCGGGGCUCAACCUGGGCAUUGCAGCGCGAACUGGCAGACUUGAGUGCGCAGGAAGUAGGCGGAAUUCGUCGUGUAGCGGUGAAAUGCUUAGAUAUGACGAAGAACUCCGAUUGCGAAGGCAGCCUGCUGUAGUGCAACUGACGCUGAGGCUCGAAAGUGUGGGUAGCAAACAGGAUUAGAUACCCUGGUAGUCCACACCGUAAACGAUGAUUACUAGGUGUUGGAGGAUUGACCCCUUCAGUGCCGCAGUUAACACAAUAAGUAAUCCACCUGGGGAGUACGGCCGCAAGGUUGAAACUCAAAGGAAUUGACGGGGGCCCGCACAAGCAGUGGAGUAUGUGGUUUAAUUCGAAGCAACGCGAAGAACCUUACCAGGUCUUGACAUCGUAUGCAUAACUUAGAGAUAAGUGAAAUCCCUUCGGGGACAUAUAGACAGGUGGUGCAUGGUUGUCGUCAGCUCGUGUCGUGAGAUGUUGGGUUAAGUCCCGCAACGAGCGCAACCCUUACCUUUAGUUGCUACGCAAGAGCACUCUAAAGGGACUGCCGUUGACAAAACGGAGGAAGGUGGGGAUGACGUCAAAUCAUCAUGCCCCUUAUGACCUGGGCUACACACGUACUACAAUGGCAAUUAACAAAGAGAAGCAAGACAGCGAUGUGGAGCAAAUCUCGAAAAAUUGUCCCAGUUCAGAUUGCAGGCUGCAACUCGCCUGCAUGAAGUCGGAAUUGCUAGUAAUCGUGGAUCAGCAUGCCACGGUGAAUACGUUCCCGGGCCUUG